rnacentral:ncRNA from 2 species
AUCGUUCAUCUCUCUUAAAAACACUCUUCACCGGAUGCUGAGAGAGACGGAAGUAAGGAAAUAUCCAGAAGGAACGCACG